UACGGGGGGGGCAAGCGUUGUUCGGAAUUACUGGGCGUAAAGGGCUCGUAGGCGGCCAACUAAGUCAGACGUGAAAUCCCUCGGCUUAACCGGGGAACUGCGUCUGAUACUGGAUGGCUUGAGAUUGGGAGAGGGAUGCGGAAUUCCAGGUGUAGCGGUGAAAUGCGUAGAGAUCCGGAGGAACACCAGAGGCGAAGGCGGCCUGCUGGGCUGCACCUGACGCUGAGCCGCGAAAGCCAGGGGAGCAAACGGG
rnacentral:rRNA from 1 species